GUCAAAACCAUUCUGGUUUUCCUCAUACCAGUCUGCUUUUCAUUUCCCCUGGAGCUGCUUCCUUGUUCAGGUAAGUACGGUGGCCGACAGAGGCAAACGCACUGCAACGACCCAAAACACAUGCAGAAGGAGGAACGAGCUGCAUAUUCAUAAAUGCUGCGGAUUCCUAAAACACCGCAAAUAUACCAACUCCACUCUGAGACCAAGAAUGAUACGCACAAUAUCCAUAGGAGGAAAAAGGUUGGCUGGACUUCCAACCCGAACCAAGCGAGCAAUUUGAGUGUCCUCCUGCUGCUUUAGCCACACACUGUGGCAUCCCUUUGGAGUUGGCAGUUGGCAUUUUUUGGGACUUGGUGAACUCAGUGAAGAGCUGCCACCACGAACCGUUUCAGAACAGCUUGAUGACUGAACCUAAUACGGUACAUUCUCUCAAUUUGCUUUUUUGCAAUGAAUGCCGACUAACGUGUUGGUCCAAAAAUCUGUCCAAGUCUGGUGAAUGUAAAGGUGCAGUUAUACGCAUAGUCUACAUUAUACGCUAAAUACCACUGGGCCAUAAAUGGCUUAAUUUUGGGUGUCAUACCUCCAGUGAAAUACGAGGUAAAGUGUAAUCAUUGGUGAAAAAUAGCUAGAAAAAGGCAAUAAUGUUUGGUCAGGAGGGUGUUUACUUAAUUUUCAUAUGCCUCAAGCAUGAAAAUGUACUUGUCAUGAUUUGUUACUUUUUAUUAUUAGAGCUUGAGCAUCGAGUGGUGCAAGGACCCUAUAGUUUUUCAAGCCGCUGUUAGGGCCUGAAAUUACUUGUGUUGAACAUUUGAUGGACUACUCCAUCCAUCCAUCCAUCCAUCCAUACCACUUUAUCGUCCAAUCCCAGGUACACCCUGGACAGAAUAAGGGUAUUUGUGCCCCCUACUGGCAACAGAAAGUAAGCCUCGGAUGAGAUAGAAGAUCUGUUUGGGAAAAUAACCUUUUUGUUGACGUCUAACCAGCAAACAAAUCAUUCCUCAUAUUUAUAGUAUGAAACAUAGUAACAUUAGUGGGAGCACUGCUGAUUAAAUGAGGGUGAAUUAAGUUUAAAUUAGGAAUACUGGUCAAAAUCUCUGGAUUGGAUAUCAGUCAAAUAUUUAAAAUCAGAUACAAUCCACAAAUCACAUAUCACCUGCUUCACUAUGCACAGACUGUAAAAGUGUACAUAAAAGUCAGCGACAGCAUUUAAGCUGAGUCAUGUUGUGGGUUUGUUACACAGUUGGAGAAUUA